GUCAAGUUUAAAGGUGUAAAAACAAGUACAGGAUAUUUACAAUAAGCAGACCUCAGUGCAAGAAAGUGUCUUUCCAACACUGAAAAGGUCAAAGGUCAACUUUAAAGGUGUAAAAACAAGUACAGGAUAUUUACAAUAAGCAGACCUCAGUGCAAGAAAGUGUCUUUCCAACACUGAAAAGGUCAAAGGUCAAGUUUAAAGGUGUAAAAACAAGUACAGGAUAUUUACAAUAAGCAGACCUCAGUGCAAGAAAGUGUCUUUCCAACACUGAAAAGGUUAAAGGUCAAGUUUAAAGGUGUAAAAACAAGUACAGGAUAUUUACAAUAAGCAGACCUCAGUGCAAGAAAGUGUCUUUCCAACACUGAAAAGGUCAAAGGUCAACUUUAACAGUAAAAGGUGUAAAAACAAGUACAAGAUAUUUACAAUAAGCAGACCUCAGUGCAAGAAAGUGUGUUUCCAACACUGAAAAGGUCAAAGGUCAACUUCAACAUUAAAAGGUGUAAAAACAACACUGUUUGCCUUUGCAGUAAUUUCCAUAGCUUAGUACUGCAAAAUCAACAGUAAAAAACUCUAAAGGAUGUUAGCAGUUUAGUACUGUAAUUUGCAUGUAAUUGUGGGAAAAUUCCAUGAGAUUAUAUUAUUUUGACGGUAACUCACCGUACUCAUGGAAACAGCUGUAAAAUACAGCAAAUGUAACAACUGGUGAUGUUACUGAGAUUAUACUAUUACACCAUCCGGAUUUCUGUUGUUUUCUACUGUAGAUCUAAGAGUAAUUACUUAAAUCCUCAUUCAGAGUGUAUUACCAUAAAAUGUGAUUCACUGUGAAAGUAGUAUAACAUAUAAACUACAGCAUAAUUUUUAACUUAAGGAGUAAGUUGCAGCCACACUAAAAUUUAAUUCCUUGAACUGAAUGGAACCUCAUAUAUUAAUAAAUGUAUUUGUUAAGUCAAACAAUGUGAAACAUCAGUAAUACUAUUAAUUAAUAGUAUACUUGUAAGGUUAGUAUUGUGAUAGAGUCGCGUAUAUUUUAAUUAUACUCUUGUAGACAUUAUGACAUUAUGCUAGUACAAUUAUGGUGAACAAAAAGUACAUCUAAAAGUUAAUUUCAAGAAUACUGUUAUGUACUAAAACGGGGGCCAAUAUAGUCCCAAGAAGCAUUAUUAGUAUACGUACUAGGUAAG
ensembl:lncRNA